AUUGAACGCUGGCGGCAGGCCUAACACAUGCAAGUCGAGCGGGGUUUUCGGACCUAGCGGCGGACGGGUGAGUAAUGCGUAGGAAGCUACCCGAUAGAGGGGGAUACCAGUUGGAAACGACUGUUAAUACCGCAUAAUGUCUACGGACCAAAGUGUGGGACCUUCGGGCCACAUGCUAUCGGAUGCGCCUACGUGGGAUUAGCUAGUUGGUGGGGUAAUGGCUCACCAAGGCGACGAUCCCUAGCUGGUUUGAGAGGAUGAUCAGCCACACUGGAACUGAGACACGGUCCAGACUCCUACGGGAGGCAGCAGUGGGGAAUAUUGGACAAUGGGCGCAAGCCUGAUCCAGCCAUGCCGCGUGUGUGAAGAAGGCCUUCGGGUUGUAAAGCACUUUCAGUAGGGAGGAAGGGUGUUGUGUUAAUACCUUGCUGUUUUGACGUUACCGACAGAAUAAGCACCGGCUAACUCUGUGCCAGCCGCCGCGGUAAGAC
rnacentral:rRNA from 1 species